CGAGACACGUGAAACCUUGUGGGAAGCAGGGAGGACCACCUCCCAAGGCUAAAUACUACCUGAUGACCGAUAGUGAAGCAGUACCGUGAGGGAAAGGUGAAAAGAACCCCGGGAGGGGAGUGAAAUAGAACCUGAAACCGUGUGCCUACAACCGCUCAGAGCCCCUUAUGAGGGUGAUGAGGUGCUUUUUGUAGAACGAGCCAACGAGUUACGGUAUGUAGCAAGGUUAAGUACUUAAGGUACGGAGCCGAAGGGAAACCGAGUCUGAAUAGGGCGACUAGUUGCAUGCCGUAGACCCGAAACCGGGUGACCUAUCCAUGGCCAGGUUGAAGCGAGGGUAAAACCUCGUGGAGGACCGAACCACGUUGCUGUUGAAAAAGCAUGGGAUGAGCUGUGGAUAGCGGAGAAAUUCCAAUCGAACCCGGAGAUAGCUGGUUCUCUCCGAAAUAGCUUUAGGGCUAGCGUCGAGUAUGAGUAGUGGAGGUAGAGCACUGAAUGGGCUAGGGGGCAUAGCGCUUACCGAACCUUAUCAAACUCCGAAUGCCACAUACUUUGAGCUCGGCAGUCAGACUACGAAUGAUAAGAUCCGUGGUCAAAAGGGAAACAGCCCAGAUCGUCAGCUAAGGUCCCAAAGUGUAAGUUAAGUGGGAAAGGAUGUGAGAUUUCUAAGACAACUAGGAUGUUGGCUUAGAAGCAGCCAUUCAUUAAAAGAGUGCGUAAUAGCUCACUAGUCGAGAGAUCUUGCGCCGAAAAUGUAACGGGGCUAAACUUACCACCGAAGCUACGGGCUUGAACUUAGUUCAAGCGGUAGGAGAGCGUCGUAACCGGGCUGAAGUCGUACCGUAAGGAGCGGUGGACUGGUUACGAGUGAGAAUGUUGGCAUCAGUAGCGAGAUGUGGGUGAGAAUCCCACAGGCCGAAAACCUAAGGUUUCCUCAGGAAGGUUCGUCCGCUGAGGGUUAGUCGGGACCUAAGCCGAGGCCGAAAGGCGUAGGUGAUGGACAACUGGUUGAUAUUCCAGUACCACUACCAUCGUUAUUAUCGAUGGCGUGACGCAGGAGGAUAGUGUGUGCUAGCUAUUGGAUGCUAGUCUAAGCGUUUAGGCAGUGAGAGUAGGCAAAUCCGCUCUCAUAA
rnacentral:rRNA from 1 species